rnacentral:snRNA from 1 species
GGAUGUGAGGGCGAUCUGGCUGUGACAUCUGUUACCUCAUUGAUUGCUUGGGUUGAUUUGGUUGAUCUGGCUAGCUAGGCAGGUGUCCCCUUCCUCCUUUACCGCUCUAAGUGCAUCCCUCCCCAAGCGAAGCUGUGUGCUCCAUGGAAGAGGAUGGCCUUCCCCGAACAGAGAUGGACGGGUCUUCGGUAAAGGGUAUAUGAGUAGCUGCGCUCCCCUGCUAGAACCUCCAAACAAGUUCUCAAGAAAGACCAGAUUUUUAUGUCUAACUGAGAGCUUGGGUGUGUCCUUUCACUUACCUGCACUAUGAUAUAAGU